CCUACGGGAGGCAGCAGUAGGGAAUAUUGCUCAAUGGGGGAAACCCUGAAGCAGCAACGUAGCGUGGAGGAUGAAUGUUUUAGGGUUUUAAACUUCUUUUUUUAAAGAAGUUUAUUACGGUAUCUAACCAUUAUUCUCCGUCUAACUCCGUUCCAGCAGCCGCGGUAAUACGGAGGGUGCAAGCGUUACUCGGAAUCACUGGGCGUAAAGAGUGCGUAGGCGGGGUAAUAAGUCAGAUGUGAAAUCCUGCAGCUUAACUAUAGAAUUGCAUUUGAAACUGUUACUCUGGAGUGUAGGAGAGGUAGGCGGAAUUCUUGGUGUAGGGGUAAAAUGCGUAGAGAUCAAGAAGAAUACUCAUUGCGAAGGCGACCCGCUAGAAUAUUACUGACACUGAUGCACGAAAGCGUGGGGAGCAAACAGGAUUAGAUACCCUUGUAGUC
rnacentral:rRNA from 1 species